GGCUCCGUGGCUCAGUGGUAGAGCGUCUGUCUAGUAAACAGAAGGUCUUGGGUUCGAUCCCCAACGGAGCCU
rnacentral:tRNA from 1 species